GACGAACGCUGGCGGCGUGCUUAACACAUGCAAGUGGUGCGACGAACCAGGGCUUGCCCUGGGGCAAAGCCGCGAACGGGUGAGUAACACGUGAGUAACCUGCCCCGAUGACCGGGACAACCCGAGGAAACUCGGGCUAAUACCGGAUGUGGCGCACAGGCAUCAGCCUGUUCGCUAAAGGAAGCUUCGGCCUCCGCAUUGGGAGGGGCUCGCGGCCCAUUAGCUUGUUGGUGGGGUAACGGCCUACCAAGGCAACGAUGGGUAGCUGGUCUGAGAGGACGAUCAGCCACACUGGGACUGAGACACGGCCCAGACUCCUACGGGAGGCAGCAGUGGGGAAUCUUGCGCAAUGCGCGAAAGCGUGACGCAGCAACGCCGCGUGGGGGAAGAAUG
rnacentral:rRNA from 1 species